rnacentral:rRNA from 1 species
GACGAACGCUGGCGGCGUGCUUAACACAUGCAAGUCGAACGGGGUGCCUAAGAAGGAGAUUUCGGUCAACGGAUUAGGUUACUUAGUGGCGGACGGGUGAGUAACGCGUGAGGAACCUGCCUUUCAGAGGGGGACAACAGCUGGAAACGGCUGCUAAUACCGCAUAAUAUAUAGUUGUCGCAUGGCAGUUAUAUCAAAGAUUUAUCGCUGAAAGAUGGCCUCGCGUCUGAUUAGCUAGUUGGUGAGGUAACGGCCCACCAAGGCGACGAUCAGUAGCCGGACUGAGAGGUUGGCCGGCCACAUUGGGACUGAGAUACGGCCCAG